rnacentral:rRNA from 11 species
CACGUGAAAUUCCGUCGGAAUCUGGGAGGACCAUCUCCUAAGGCUAAAUACUCUCUAGUGACCGAUAGUGAACCAGUACCGUGAGGGAAAGGUGAAAAGCACCCCGGAAGGGGAGUGAAAUAGAACCUGAAACCGUGUGCUUACAAGUAGUCAGAGCCCGUUAAUGGGUGAUGGCGUGCCUUUUGUAGAAUGAACCGGCGAGUUACGAUUUGAUGCAAGGUUAAGCAGUAAAUGUGGAGCCGUAGCGAAAGCGAGUCUGAAUAGGGCGUUUAGUAUUUGGUCGUAGACCCGAAACCAGGUGAUCUACCCUUGGUCAGGUUGAAGUUCAGGUAACACUGAAUGGAGGACCGAACCGACUUACGUUGAAAAGUGAGCGGAUGAACUGAGGGUAGCGGAGAAAUUCCAAUCGAACCUGGAGAUAGCUGGUUCUCUCCGAAAUAGCUUUAGGGCUAGCCUCAAGUGAUGAUUAUUGGAGGUAGAGCACUGUUUGGACGAGGGGCCCCUCUCGGGUUACCGAAUUCAGACAAACUCCGAAUGCCAAUUAAUUUAACUUGGGAGUCAGAACAUGGGUGAUAAGGUCCGUGUUCGAAAGGGAAACAGCCCAGACCACCAGCUAAGGUCCCAAAAUAUAUGUUAAGUGGAAAAGGAUGUGGCGUUGCCCAGACAACUAGGAUGUUGGCUUAGAAGCAGCCAUCAUUUAAAGAGUGCGUAAUAGCUCACUAGUCGAGUGACACUGCGCCGAAAAUGUACCGGGGCUAAACAUAUUACCGAAGCUGUGGAUUGUCCUUUGGACAAUGGUAGGAGAGCGUUCUAAGGGCGUUGAAGCAUGAUCGUAAGGACAUGUGGAGCGCUUAGAAGUGAGAAUGCCGGUGUGAGUAGCGAAAGACGGGUGAGAAUCCCGUCCACCGAUUGACUAAGGUUUCCAGAGGAAGGCUCGUCCGCUCUGGGUUAGUCGGGUCCUAAGCUGAGGCCGACAGGCGUAGGCGAUGGAUAACAGGUUGAUAUUCCUGUACCACCUAUAAUCGUUUUAAUCGAUGGGGGGACGCAGUAGGAUAGGCGAAGCGUGCGAUUGGAUUGCACGUCUAAGCAGUAAGGCUGAGUAUUAGGCAAAUCCGGUACUCGUUAAGGCUGAGCUGUGAUGGGGAGAAGACAUUGUGUCUUCGAGUCGUUGAUUUCACACUGCCGAGAAAAGCCUCUAGAUAGAAAAUAGGUGCCCGUACCGCAAACCGACACAGGUAGUCAAGAUGAGAAUUCUAAGGUGAGCGAGCGAACUCUCGUUAAGGAACUCGGCAAAAUGACCCCGUAACUUCGGGAGAAGGGGUGCUCUUUAGGGUUAACGCCCAGAAGAGCCGCAGUGAAUAGGCCCAAGCGACUGUUUAUCAAAAACACAGGUCUCUGCUAAACCGUAAGGUGAUGUAUAGGGGCUGACGCCUGCCCGGUGCUGGAAGGUUAAGAGGAGUGGUUAGCUUCUGCGAAGCUACGAAUCGAAGCCCCAGUAAACGGCGGCCGUAACUAUAACGGUCCUAAGGUAGCGAAAUUCCUUGUCGGGUAAGUUCCGACCCGCACGAAAGGCGUAACGAUUUGGGCACUGUCUCAACGAGAGACUCGGUGAAAUCAUAGUACCUGUGAAGAUGCAGGUUACCCGCGACAGGACGGAAAGACCCCGUGGAGCUUUACUGUAGCCUGAUAUUGAAAUUCGGCACAGCUUGUACAGGAUAGGUAGGAGCCUUUGAAACGUGAGCGCUAGCUUACGUGGAGGCGCUGGUGGGAUACUACCCUAGCUGUGUUGGCUUUCUAACCCGCACCACUUAUCGUGGUGGGAGACAGUGUCAGGCGGGCAGUUUGACUGGGGCGGUCGCCUCCUAAAAGGUAACGGAGGCGCUCAAAGGUUCCCUCAGAAUGGUUGGAAAUCAUUCAUAGAGUGUAAAGGCAUAAGGGAGCUUGACUGCGAGACCUACAAGUCGAGCAGGGUCGAAAGACGGACUUAGUGAUCCGGUGGUUCCGCAUGGAAGGGCCAUCGCUCAACGGAUAAAAGCUACCCCGGGGAUAACAGGCUUAUCUCCCCCAAGAGUUCACAUCGACGGGGAGGUUUGGCACCUCGAUGUCGGCUCAUCGCAUCCUGGGGCUGUAGUCGGUCCCAAGGGUUGGGCUGUUCGCCCAUUAAAGCGGUACGCGAGCUGGGUUCAGAACGUCGUGAGACAGUUCGGUCCCUAUCCGUCGUGGGCGUAGGAAAUUUGAGAGGAGCUGUCCUUAGUACGAGAGGACCGGGAUGGACAUACCUCUGGUGUACCAGUUGUCGUGCCAACGGCAUAGCUGGGUAGCUAUGUGUGGACGGGAUAAGUGCUGAAAGCAUCUAAGCAUGAAGCCCCCCUCAAGAUGAGAUUUCCCAACUUCGGUUAUAAGAUCCCUCAAAGAUGAUGAGGUUAAUAGGUUCGAGGUGGAAGCAUGGUGACAUGUGGAGCUGACGAAUACUAAUCGAUCGAAGACUUAAUCAA